rnacentral:rRNA from 1 species
UACACAUGCAGUCGAGCGGUAAGGCCUUUCGGGGUACACGAGCGGCGAACGGGUGAGUAACACGUGGGUGAUCUGCCCUGCACUUCGGGAUAAGCCUGGGAAACUGGGUCUAAUACCGGAUAUGACCUCCUAUCGCAUGGUGGGUGGUGGAAAGAUUUAUCGGUGCAGGAUGGGCCCGCGGCCUAUCAGCUUGUUGGUGGGGUAAUGGCCUACCAAGGCGACGACGGGUAGCCGACCUGAGAGGGUGACCGGCCACACUGGGACUGAGACACGGCCCAGACUCCUACGGGAGGCAGCAGUGGGGAAUAUUGCACAAUGGGCGAAAGCCUGAUGCAGCGACGCCGCGUGAGGGAUGACGGCCUUCGGGUUGUAAACCUCUUUCAGCAGGGACGAAGCGCAAGUGACGGUACCUGCAGAAGAAGCACCGGCUAACUACGUGCCAGCAGCCGCGGUAAUACGUAGGGUGCAAGCGUUGUCCGGAAUUACUGGGCGUAAAGAGUUCGUAGGCGGUUUGUCGCGUCGUUUGUGAAAACCAGCAGCUCAACUGCUGGCUUGCAGGCGAUACGGGCAGACUUGAGUACUGCAGGGGAGACUGGAAUUCCUGGUGUAGCGGUGAAAUGCGCAGAUAUCAGGAGGAACACCGGUGGCGAAGGCGGGUCUCUGGGCAGUAACUGACGCUGAGGAACGAAAGCGUGGGUAGCGAACAGGAUUAGAUACCCUGGUAGUCCACGCCGUAAACGGUGGGCGCUAGGUGUGGGUUCCUUCCACGGAAUCCGUGCCGUAGCUAACGCAUUAAGCGCCCGCCUGGGGAGUACGGCCGCAAGGCUAAACUCAAGGAAUUGACGGGGCCCGCACAAGCGGCGGAGCAUGUGGAUUAUUCGAUGCACGCGAAGAACCUUACCUGGGUUUGACAUAUACCGGAAGCUGCAGAGAUGUG